rnacentral:rRNA from 1 species
GAUGAACGCUAGCGGCAGGCUUAAUACAUGCAAGUCGAGGGGCAUCGGGGUAGCAGUACUGCCGGCGACCGGCAAACGGGUGCGGAACACGUACAGAACUUUCCUUUAAGCGGGGGAUAGCCCAUAGAAAUGUGGAUUAAUACCCCAUAGUAUUAUUGAUUGGCAUCAGUUAAUAAUUAAAGAUUUAUCACUUAAAGAUGGCUGUGCGUCUGAUUAGGUAGUUGGUAGGGGUAACGGCCCACCAAGCCAUCGAUCAGUAACUGGUGUGAGAGCACGACCAGUCACACGGGCACUGAGACACGGGCCCGACUCCUACGGGAGGCAGCAGUAAGGAAUAUUGGUCAAUGGACGCAAGUCUGAACCAGCCAUGCCGCGUGAAGGAUGAAGGCCCUCUGGGUUGUAAACUUCUUUUAUCUGGGAAGAAAUGCCUGUUUUUCAAUGGGUUUGACGGUACCAGAGGAAUAAGCACCGGCUAACUCCGUGCCAGCAGCCGCGGUAAUACGGAGGGUGCAAGCGUUAUCCGGAUUCACUGGGUUUAAAGGGUGCGUAGGUGGGUUUGUAAGUCAGUGGUGAAAUCUCCGUGCUUAACAUGGAAACUGCCAUUGAUACUACUGAUCUUGAAUUUUCUGGAGGUAAGCGGAAUAUGUCAUGUAGCGGUGAAAUGCUUAGAUAUGACAUAGAACACCAAUUGCGAAGGCAGCUUACUACAGGGAUAUUGACACUGAGGCACGAAAGCGUGGGGAUCAAACAGGAUUAGAUACCCUGGUAGUCCACGCCCUAAACGAUGGAUACUCGACAUUUGCGAUACACAGUAAGUGUCUGAGCGAAAGCAUUAAGUAUCCCACCUGGGAAGUACGAC